rnacentral:rRNA from 1 species
UACGUAGGGUGCAAGCGUUAAUCGGAAUUACUGGGCGUAAAGCGUGCGCAGGCGGUUUUGUAAGUCAGAUGUGAAAUCCCCGGGCUUAACCUGGGAACUGCGUUUGAAACUACAAGGCUAGAGUGUGGCAGAGGGGGGUGGAAUUCCACGUGUAGCAGUGAAAUGCGUAGAGAUGCGGAGGAACACCGAUGGCGAAGGCAGCCCCCUGGGCUGACACUGACGCUCAGGCACGAAAGCGUGGGGAGCAAACAGG